rnacentral:snRNA from 1 species
GGACGAUACAGAGAAGAGGAACAGGGCCCUGCACAAGGACGACACGCAAUCUCAUGACACAUUCCAUAUUUUA